CUUCAACCGCUGAGAGUGGUCAUUGCGGAUAAACAGCACAGUUUCCCCAACCCUUCCUGAGACAAUCUUGCGGUAUACUCCACAUCAUCCCCUGAGGGCCCCUCUGGGACUGUGCCCCAGUUGCCCAUAAAGGUAACUAGCUCUUUUUUUUGUUUGUUUGUUUGUUUUUGAGACAGAGUCUUGCCCUGUUGCCCAGACUGGAGUGCAGUGGCAUGAUCUUGGCUCACUACAACCUCUGCCUCCCGGGUUCAAGCAAUUCUCCUGCCUCAGCCUCCCAAGUACCUGGGAUUACAGGCACCCACCGUCACGCCCGGCUAAUUUUUGUAUUUUGUUUCACCAUGUUGACUAGGCUGGUCUUGAACUCCUGACUUCAGGUGAUCCGCCCUCCUCAGCCUCCCAAAGUGCUGGGAUUACAGGCAUGAGCCACUGCGCCUGGCCAACUGCCCAACUUCUAACUGCUGCCUUCAACCAAGGAAUGGAUAGAGGUGGUGUAUAAAUACCCCAGCUUCCUGAUUGUUUUGCAGUGGGCAGGUCUAUGCAAACUUACCCCAAAGUCCAAGGAAGCUGAGAGGCUGAAGAGAUGAUGCUGACAUACUCAGUUCCUUAGAAAGAAACUUUUAAUAGAAACUUAGAAACAGAUGCCACGUCUGUGUCUCCUGCGGUGGCCAGACAAGAUGGUGGAUCCCCACUCCAUUAUCUCCCAGACCCAGGGCUUCUAUACCAUAGGAGAGGGGUGGUUCAGAAGGGAUGUGUAGAACAGUUGAAGUAAGAUAACAUCAAGGUUGUUUGACCUAAGGACAGGAUAUAGAGUCAGAACCUGCUCUUACACAAGGAAUAAUAGAUAAACUAGAAAUCUUAGAGGCCUUCUUGGAACAGGGGUUAAUCAGAAGCCAACAUGGCGGAUUAGCUUCCAAGAUGGAGUUGCUGAUCCUUCAGUAACCUGAGUUUCCAUUUGGGAACCACCCCUUCUGGAAGUUCGCUCCAUCAGGAAGUUCCCUUGAGCCUGUAACCCAACAAGGAGCAUGUGACUUAGCACCAACGAACCAGAGCAGUGGAGGUACAAUAACUAUGAUGAUUGGCUAGGUACAGUGGCUCACGCCUGUAAUCCAGUGCUUUGGGAGGCUGAGGCGGGGGGAUGACCUGAGGUCAGGAGUUCGAGACCAG
rnacentral:lncRNA from 10 species